rnacentral:rRNA from 1 species
AUUGAACGCUGGCGGCAGGCCUAACACAUGCAAGUCGAACGGUAACAGGAAGAAUCUUGCUUCUUUGCUGACGAGUGGCGGACGGGUGAGUAAUGUCUGGGCAACUGCCUGAUGGAGGGGGAUAACUACUGGAAACGGUAGCUACUACCGCAUAACGUCGCAAGCCCAAAGAGGGGGACCUUCGGGCCUCUUGCCAUCGGAUGUGCCCAGAUGGGAUUGGCUAGUAGGUGGGGUAACGGCUCACCUAGGCGACGAUCCCUAGCUGGUCUGAGAGGAUGACCAGCCACACUGGAACGGGGACAGGGUCCAGAGUCCUACGGGAGGCAGCAGUGGGGAAUAUUGGACAAUGGGCGCAAGCCUGAUGCAGCCAUGCCGCGUGUAUGAAGAAGGCGUUCGGGUUGUAAAGUACUUUCAGCGGGGGGGAAGGGAGUAAAGUUAAUACCUUGGCUCAUUGACGUUACCCGCAGAAGAAGCACCGGCUAACUCCGUG